rnacentral:rRNA from 1 species
CCUACGUGGGGCAGCAGUGAGGAAUAUUGGUCAAUGGACGCAAGUCUGAACCAGCCAUACCGCGUGCAGGAAGACGGCUCUAUGAGUUGUAAACUGCUUUUGUACGAGGGUAAAUCCCGAUACGUGUACCGGGUUGAAAGGUUCGUACGAAUAAGGAUCGGCUAACUCCGUGCCAGCAGCCGCGGUAAUACGGAGGAUUGAGGCGUUAUCCGGGUUUUGUGGGUUUAAAGGGUGCGUAAGCGGAUCGAUAAGUUAGAGGUGAAAUCCCGGGGCUCAACCCCGGCACUGCCGGUGAUACUGGGGGGCUAGAGUUUAGUUGCGGUAGGCGGAAUGUAUGGUGUAGCGGUGAAAUGCAUAGAGAUCAUACAGAACACCGAUUGCGAAGGCAGCUUACCAAACUACGACUGACGUUGAGGCACGAAAGCGUGGGGAGCAAACAGGAUUAGAUACCCGGGUAGUC